AAGAGAAGAACAUAUAAGGAUAUCCAAGGAGACUGCCUGACAUCUUUUUUAUAAGCAAAAUGGUCAUCGCUUGAUGUAAUUGAUAGUCACUUUGUCAAACAUGACACUAACCAUUUUACGCAAAGGAAUCAGGCAAGUCAUCCUUGGCUACCAAAUAUGAUUCUCCUACU
rfam:Arabidopsis lyrata subsp. lyrata unplaced genomic scaffold ARALYscaffold_5, whole genome shotgun sequence.